CUGAAAUUGAAACUAUAGAUGACGUACUAGAAGUAGCCUUUACUAAAUUCCUAAACAAUCUAGACAAAAGAUGUAGUUGGAAUAUUCAGGGGCAACAAAACAUGUUACUAGUUCAAAACAAUGUCUAAACUUCAUUGAAACUAUGGAAAACAAAAACAAAUCAGUAACCAUUGCAUUGUAGGAAGAGAGAAACACAAUAUUGAAGGAAUAAGAGAUGGUUACUAAUGUACAAGAGAAGGACAAAUAAAGUUGGAUGAUGUUCUUUAUAUAUAGUCUCUGAAGAGAAAUCUAAUGUUGGUAGGCACGCUAACUAACAAAAGUAAUUUGAUUGUUUUCAUCAA
rnacentral:lncRNA from 1 species